AUACGGAGGAUCCGAGCGUUAUCCGGAUUUAUUGGGUUUAAAGGGUGCGCAGGCGGCCAUUUAAGUCAGCGGUUAAAUCGUGGGGCUCAACCCCAUUCUGCCGUUGAUACUGGGUGGCUUGAUUGCGGUCGAGGUUGGCGGAAUUCGUUGUGUAGCGGUGAAAUGCAUAGAUAGUCUGAAGAACACCGAUUGCGUAGGCAGCUGACCAGACCGCAAAUGACGCUCAUGCACGAAAGUGCUGAGAUCGAACAGGAUUAGAUACCCUGGUAGUCCGCACAGUAAACUAUGAAUACUUGUUUUCGGCGAUAUAAUGUCGGAGGCAAAGCGAAAGCGAUAAGUAUUCCACCUUGGGAGUACGCCGGCAACGGUGCAACUCAAAGGAAUUGACGGGG
rnacentral:rRNA from 1 species